GGAGUUACAGUUCAGUCAUAGAGUGCAUGCUUGGCAUGUAUGAGGAACUGGGUUCAAUUCUCACUAUCUCCA
rnacentral:tRNA from 1 species